rnacentral:lncRNA from 1 species
CUGAAGAAGGCUGGACAACUCAAAACGAAGCAACCCCCAAACAAAACCCAGCUGGAAAAUACUGAAAACCACCCACCAGACGUCCAACCUAGCAAGAUGACGAACUUGAUUUCUACUUCUUCUUGGUGGAAAUUGAUUUUAACAUUCUGGUUUUCAUUCAUUUUAUGGUCCACAUUUGCUUUGUUUUGGAGUUUUUCUGGUCGGAUUUCUGGGUUGCCUUGAACUUCCAUAGUCAAGGUUCAGAUUCGGUAUUCUGCUUGCUGUGUGGUUCAGUUCCAGUUUGUUUGAGGUUUAGUGUUCGUCUGCCUCAAGUUCAGGAUCAAGAUUUCUGGUCGUUUCUUGGCCAGUUCAGGUUCAAGCUGGUGGUCUUCUAGUUUUCUUGCUAAGGUUGGUGUUCUCAGUUUGCUUGCGGGUCUCUUCAGGUCUUCUGGGUUCCAGUUUGUUUCUGCUCACCUGUUUGUUUAUUUGGUUCCCUUCUUGCUGGAGUGUUUUGUUCCUGGGUGUUCUUGGGGUCUUCUUGCAGCUGGGAUUGUUUGUUUCUGUGUGCUUUGAUCGUGGUUAUUGGUUUGUGAUUGUUGCUGGAUUUUCUUGCUGGUCGGUUUGGUUUUCACUCUUGGUGCCGGGCUCCUCCAGUUUCCAUCUUCAGUUUUCGAGUUCUUGGAUGUUUUCUCCUGUUGUGUUGGAUGUUUCUAUGGUGUAAGUAUUGGCCUUGACUGAUUCUUGCAGAUUUGAAUUUGGUCUUCC